UGGAUUAAGACAAGGGGAACAUCAGAAAACAACUCCUGUCACGGCCAACCUUGAUUUCUGUCUGCUUUUCAUCUGCUGGACUGACAUGAGUGGCCUUUCCAUUCCUCCACUCAGGCCUUAACGUAUUGCAGGGCCUCGACUUAAAGCAGCAAUGUUUGCGUCUGGAGUCUCCAGCAGUGCAUCUACCAGCUACAAGAUCUUCAUGCAGACUUGACAGCGACUGAUGCGUGACCGGUAAUCAUCUCCCUUCAGCGUCUCCUGGGAAGGACCCUGGAAGAACUGUUCGUUCUUCUCUACCGUGGUCAACCAGAAACUGUACUUGUUGGCGAAGAAGUGGCAGGUGCCGCGGGCUCCGUUGCACUCGAUGAAGGGGGUGGCGCGGAAAUCCUCCAGACAAGAACCAGGAGACACCAAUGACUGACCGCCUCCUUCGGCACCAGCGGCUGUGUGCUAGAGGACCAAGAUGAACACUAGUGAGGAGACCUUCCAAAUGUGUCCAAAUCUUGAACAUUUAUACUAUUAUACAUAUUAAAUAACUUAUUAUUAUUAA